CACAAUAGACUGCAAGGACCCUAAACAUGAGCCUUCUCAGGCAGAUGGGACUCCACACUCCCUACGUCCCUGCACCUACAAAUCCUAUAUCUAAGCUUUUUUAGGAUGAUUGAAAAUGAUGGGGUACUGAACAAAUGGGGGCACUGUGCAUCUCCAUCUCAACACUCCUUAUACGGACCUCCCUCUCCCGUAUCCUUCCACACCACUGAGUAGGAGGAAGAACAAUGGCAUAUGUAAGCGGGAGAGGUCGUGGGAGGAGGGGAAGAGGAGGGGAUGCUCCUAUUCCCACCAAUCACUUGGCUAGGUUCUUUUGGCCCAACGGAGUAUGAGGAACCUCUUGAUAACUUCCCUCUGUAUGAUAGGGCUAACUACGCC
rnacentral:lncRNA from 1 species